GCCCUUGUAGUUCAAUUGGAUAAAAUAUCAGAUUCCGGUUCUGGCGUUGUGGGUUCGAAUCCCGCCAAGGGUA
rnacentral:tRNA from 1 species